rnacentral:rRNA from 1 species
GUGCCAGCCGCCGCGGUAAAACGUAGGACGCAAGCGUUAUCCGGAGUUACUGGGCGUAAAGGGCGUGUAGGCGGCUUUUCAAGUUCGUCGUGAAAGCUCCCGGCUAAACCGGGGAGGGUCGAGGGAGACUGAGAAGCUAGAGGGCGGUAGAGGGACAGGGAAUUCCGGGUGUAGUGGUGAAAUGCGUAGAGAUCCGGAGGAACACCAGUGGCGAAGGCGCUGUCCUGGGCCGCAACUGACGCUGAGACGCGAAAGCAUGGGGAGCGAACGGGAUUAGAUACCCGCGUAGUCC